GGGUGGGGAGAGGAUAAUUAAUCUUUGUAAAUUUUGGUGACUUAUUUAUCUAUAAAUAUUUAUUAUUUUUAUGGGCUAUUUCUUCCCACCAUUUUAAAGAAAGAAAUAAGAAAAUCAAGUAACAACUAUGUUUGGUAGCAAUAUCCCAUACCACAACACGCUUCAAAUCUUAACCCAACGGUAUAAAGAUGAUUCUAUAUAUAGUUUAUCAUGAUAAGAAACUUAUUGUAUUGUGAUAAGUAUGCCCAGAAUCGUAGUACAAGGACCAAAUAAAAAGAGCACAAAAAACAAGUGAGAGAAUCAGCUCAAAUUUGCAUCGGACAAGAUUAUAAUAGAGCUGAUUUGAGGACACUUAGAACACUGUUCACUCACUUCGUUACCAUUCACACUUUCCAAAUAGUUGAUUGCCAGAACUUAUAUCGAUGCAUCGUGGUCAUUUGUAUAUAAUGGAUCACUAAAACACAAAAACAUAAUUAUAAGUAAAUAAGAGACACCACUUAGAAACAUUAACAGACACAUUUUUGGAUUUCAUUAUUUAGUAGUAAUUAACAUUCAUUAAAUUUUAUUUAGCACGUAUAAU
rnacentral:lncRNA from 1 species